AUUGAACGCUGGCGGCAGGCCUAACACAUGCAAGUCGAGCGGAUGAAGGGAGCUUGCUCCUGGAUUCAGCUGCGGACGGGUGAGUAAUGCCUAGGAAUCUGCCUGGUAGUGGGGGAUAACGUCCGGAAACGGGCGCUAAUACCGCAUACGUCCUGAGGGAGAAAGUGGGGGAUCUUCGGACCUCGCGCUAUCAGAUGAGCCUAGGUCGGAUUAGCUAGUUGGUGGGGUAAAGGCCUACCAAGGCGACGAUCCGUAACUGGUCUGAGAGGAUGAUCAGUCACACUGGAACUGAGACACGGUCCAGACUCCUACGGGAGGCAGCAGUGGGGAAUAUUGGACAAUGGGCGAAAGCCUGAUCCAGCCAUGCCGCGUGUGUGAAGAAGGUCUUCGGAUUGUAAAGCACUUUAAGUUGGGAGGAAGGGCAGUAAGUUAAUACCUUGCUGUUUUGACGUUACCAACAGAAUAAGCACCGGCUAACUUCGUG
rnacentral:rRNA from 1 species